rnacentral:lncRNA from 1 species
CAAUGUAGAAGUACCAUUUAUUUCGUGAAUUGGUUCUCUCUUUUUGUAGCGAAAUGCUAUUUAUCUAUAUCACAUAACCGAAAAGCUGAAUGGAUCACCGAGCUCUCACAUGAGGUGAACGAUUGCUUACUCCACACCAAACAAGAGCUGCUUGGCAAACCCAUAGAUCUUGAGAGGGUCAGGUAGAGACUUUGAGAUGCUUUCUAUCUCCAGACACCUCUUAACCCAUGAAAUGAGUUUAGG